rnacentral:rRNA from 1 species
GAUGAACGCUGGCGGCGUGCCUAAUACAUGCAAGUCGAGCGAACAGACGAGGAGCUUGCUCCUCUGACGUUAGCGGCGGACGGGUGAGUAACACGUGGAUAACCUACCUAUAAGACUGGGAUAACUUCGGGAAACCGGAGCUAAUACCGGAUAAUAUAUUGAACCGCAUGGUUCAAUAGUGAAAGACGGUUUUGCUGUCACUUAUAGAUGGAUCCGCGCCGCAUUAGCUAGUUGGUAAGGUAACGGCUUACCAAGGCGACGAUGCGUAGCCGACCUGAGAGGGGGAUCGGCCACACGGGAACUGAGACACGGUCCAGACGCCUACGGGAGGCAGCAGUAGGGAAUCUUCCGCAAUGGGCGAAAGCCUGACGGAGCAACGCAGCGUGAGUGAUGAAGGUCUUCGGAUCGUAAAACUCUGUUAUUAGGGAAGAACAAAUGUGUAAGGAACUAUGCACGUCUUGACGGUACCUAAUCAGAAAGCCAAGGCUAACUACGUG